rnacentral:rRNA from 1 species
UCGAGCGUGAAGGCCCUUCGGGGUACUCGAGCGGCGAACGGGUGAGUAACACGUAGAGCAACCUGCCCUAGGCUUUGGGAUAACCCCGGGAAACCGGGGCUAAUACCGAAUAGGACCUCUGACCGCAUGGUUGGUGGUGGAAAGUUUUUCGGCCUGGGAUGGGCUCGCGGCCUAUCAGCUUGUUGGUGGGGUGAUGGCCUACCAAGGCGACGACGGGUAGCCGGCCUGAGAGGGCGACCGGCCACACUGGGACUGAGACACGGCCCAGACUCCUACGGGAGGCAGCAGUGGGGAAUAUUGCACAAUGGGCGGAAGCCUGAUGCAGCGACGCCGCGUGAGGGAUGACGGCCUUCGGGUUGUAAACCUCUUUCAGCAGGGACGAAGCGUAAGUGACGGUACCUGCAGAAGAAGCGCCGGCCAACUACGUGCCAGCAGCCGCGGUAAGACGUAGGGCGCGAGCGUUGUCCGGAUUUAUUGGGCGUAAAGAGCUCGUAGGCGGCUUGUCGCGUCGACUGUGAAAACCCGCAGCUCAACUGCGGGCCUGCAGUCGAUACGGGCAGGCUAGAGUUCGGUAGGGGAGACUGGAAUUCCUGGUGUAGCGGUGAAAUGCGCAGAUAUCAGGAGGAACACCGGUGGCGAAGGCGGGUCUCUGGGCCGAUACUGACGCUGAGGAGCGAAAGCGUGGGGAGCGAACAGGAUUAGAUACCCUGGUAGUCCACGCUGUAAACGUUGGGCGCUAGGUGUGGGGGGCCUCUCCGGUUCCCUGUGCCGCAGCUAACGCAUUAAGCGCCCCGCCUGGG